AAUCUUCCACAAUGGGCGAAAGCCUGAUGGAGCAACGCCGCGCGAGUGAAGAAGGUUUNCGGAUCNUNAAACUCUGUUGUAAGGGNCGAACAAGUACCGUAGUAACUGGCUGUGCCUUUACGGUACCUUCUUAGAAAGCCACGGCUCACUACGUGCCAGCAGCCGCGGUAAUACGUACGUGGCAAGCGUUGUCCGGAAUUAUUGGGCGUAAAGAGGGCGCAGGCGGUCCUUUAAGUCGGAUGAGAAAGCCCAAGGGUGAACAGUGGAGGGUCAUUGGCAACUGGGGGACUUGAGGGCAGAAGAGGAAAGUGGAAUUACAAGUGUAGCGGUGAAAUGCGUAGAGAUUUGGAGGAACAACAGUGGCGAAGGAGACUUUCUGGUCUGUAACUGACGCUGAGGCGCGAAAGCGUGGGGAGCAAACA
rnacentral:rRNA from 1 species